AUUGAACGCUGGCGGCAGGCCUAACACAUGCAAGUCGAACGAGUGGCGGACGGGUGAGUAAUGUCUGGGAAACUGCCCGAUGGAGGGGGAUAACUACUGGAAACGGUAGCUAAUACCGCAUACUAUCGGAUGUGCCCAGAUGGGAUUAGCUAGUUGGUGGGGUAAAGGCUCACCUAGGCGACGAUCCCUAGCUGGUCUGAGAGGAUGAACAGCCACACUGGGACUGAGACACGGUCCAGACUCCUACGGGAGGCAGCAGUGGGGAAUAUUGCACAAUGGGCGCAAGCCUGAUGCAGCCAUGCCGCGUGUAUGAAGAAGGCCUUAGGGUUGUAAAGUACUUUCAGCGGGGAGGCGUUACCCGCAGAAGAAGCACCGGCUAACUCCGUGCCAGCAGCCGCGGUAAUUC
rnacentral:rRNA from 1 species